CAGUCGCCGCGGGAAUACGGAGGGGGCUAGCGUUGUUCGGAAUUACUGGGCGUAAAGCGCACGUAGGCGGCUUGGUAAGUUAGAGGUGAAAGCCCAGGGCUCAACCCUGGAAUUGCCUUUAAGACUGCCGAGCUAGUAGGUGAGAGAGGUAAGUGGAAUUCCGAGUGUAGAGGUGAAAUUCGUAGAUAUUCGGAAGAACACCAGUGGCGAAGGCGGCUUACUGGCCCAUUCUAGACGCUGAGGUGCGAAAGCGUGGGGAGCAAACAGGAUUAGAUACCCCCGUAGUCCCUGUCUCUUAUAC
rnacentral:rRNA from 1 species